CUGCCACGGCCAGUCAGCUUCUUUGUGAUCUGAAAUUUGAAAACAGUGAUGUUUAAUAUUACGCACUUUUUUUCCCUACAGCAGUAAGUGUAUGUAGAAUAAAUACACAGCACACAUUUAUAAUAACUGCUUAUAAUUUAAAUCAAUGUUAUUAGCUAACUAACUAGAACCAUACAACAGGUACAAUAAGCAAAUAGGUACAGUAGUCAACAAGUAAACACUGAAUGUGAGCAUGCUUUGAACAAUACACUGAGACACUGCAGCACAUAAACAUACACUAUUGUACCGUUAUCGUUAUCAAUAGCAAUCAUAUUAUGCAUGAUCAGUUACAGUAGUUGUAUGAUAUACGAGAAACGACGCUUAACACCGCUGGUGUACAGUACAGGUACAGUACAGGUACAGUAGUCAACAAGUAAACACUGAAUGUGAGCAUGCUUUGAACAAUACACUGAGACACUGCAGCACAUAAACAUACACUCCUGUACCGUUAUCGUUAUCAAUAGCAAUCAUAUUAUGCAUGAUCAGUUACAGUAGUUGUAUGAUAUACGAGAAACGACGCUUAACACCGCUGGUCAGGCGUCAUACACAGAUAGCAAGC
ensembl:lncRNA